rnacentral:rRNA from 1 species
AAUCAACGCUGGCGGCGUGCCUCAGACAUGCAAGUCGAACGAUUAAAGCUCUCUUCGGAGAGUGUAUAGAGUGGCGCACGGGUGAGUAACACGUAAGUAAUCUACCCUCGAGUGGGGAAUAACGUCCGGAAACGGACGCUAAUACCGCAUAAUGCAGCGGCACCGCAAGGUGACAGUUGUUAAAGGAGAAAUUCGCUUGAGGAGGAGCUUGCGGCAGAUUAGCUUGUUGGUAAGGUAACGGCUUACCAAGGCUACGAUCUGUAACCGGUCUUAGAGGACGGUCGGUCACACUGACACUGAAUAACGGGUCAGACUCCUACGGGAGGCAGCAGUCGGGAAUUUUGGGCAAUGGGCGAAAG